CUUGCUAUCCCCAGUGCGUGCUAGAGGGGGGAAUCCAUAAUAUACCACUAUAUGGAGGACAUCUUAGUUUGUGCUCCAACUGAUGAUGUGCUUACACACACGCUUGACCUGACAAUCAGUUCAUUGAUUGCUGCAGGGUUCGAGCUCCAAAAGGAUAAAAUCCAGCGGAUGCCACCCUGGAAGUACCUGGGUCUUGAAAUUGGAAAGUGCACUAUUGUGCCUCAGAAAAUUACAAUUAGAAACAACAUUCGAACCCUAUCAGAUGUCCAACAACUGUGUGGGUCUUUCAAUUGGGUGAGACCUUGGCUAGGCAUUCCCACCGACGACCUAGCCCCCCUUUUCAAUUUAUUGAAAGGGGGAGAGGAGCUUAGUUCUCCUAGGUUCCUCACCCAAGAAGCAUGGGCUGCGCUAGAGAAAAUCCAGAAGUCCAUUUCUGCCAGGCAGGCCCACCGUUACCUACCGGGGCUGCCAUUCAAAUUCAUUAUCUUGGGAAAACUGCCGCACCUCCACGGGGUCAUUUUUCAGUGGGACAACAACACCAACAAGGACCAAGGGACUAAGGACCCCCUCUUAAUCAUAGAGUGGGUGUUCCUUAGUCACCACAGGUCCAAAAGAAUGACACGGCCACAAGAGCUGGUGGCGGAACUGAUCCGUAAGUCUAGGCUGCGCAUCAGGGAGCUGGCAGGUCAAGAUUUUGAGUGCAUUGACAUCCCUCUUCAAUUGAGCUCGGGCCAAAUUACAAAAGCGAUGUUGGAACACCUGCUUCAAGAAAACAAAGCCUUGCAGUUUGCACUGGAUAGUUACACCGGCCAAAUUUCCAUUCAUAGACCGGCCCACAAAAUUUUUAAUCAAGACGUUCAGUUCACACUAUCUCUAAAAAGCGUUCAGAGUAGGACUCCUUUGAAGGCUUUGACUGUGUUUACAGACGCGUCUGGAGCAUCCCACAAGUCAGUGAUGACUUGGAAGGAUCCUCAGACUCAGCGGUGGGAGGCUGAAGUUACUGAGGUUGAAGGAUCACCUCAAGUAGCUGAGUCGGACGCAGUUGUCAGAGCCUUUGAGAAGUGCCCUGAACCAUUUAAUUUGGUCACUGAUUCCUCGUAUGUUGCCAGUGUAGUAUCAAGAGUGGAGAAUGCAAUCUUGCAAGAGGUGUCCAACAUAUCGCUGUUCAACUUGCUCUCAAAACUCGUUAAUCUAGUCUCCUGCGGAGAGCAACCAUUUUAUGUGAUGCACGUCAUGUCUCACACUGACCUGCCGGGGUUCAUCGCGGAGGGGAACCGAAGAGCUGAUGCUCUGGCCGCCCCCGUCCAGGUGGCCCCGCUCCCAGAAGUGUUCCAACAAGCUAAGAUCAGCCAGCUUUUCCAUCAGAAUGCGCCUGGCCUGGUUCGCCAAUUCAAACUUAGUCGCGAACAGGCCAGGGUGAUCGUGGCCACAUGUCCCCUGUGCCAAUCUCAUCAACUGCCAUCAUUAAGUUUAGGCACUAACCCCAGAGGGCUCAGUAGUUGUGAAGUGUGGCAAAUGGAUGUCACACAUUAUUCGGAAUUUGGCAGACUUUGUUACAUCCACGUGUCAGUAGACACUUUCUCUGGUGCAGUUUAUGCCUCUGCCCACACAGGGGAGAAAGCAUCUGACACAAAGAAACAUCUUAUUUUAGCUUUCUCCGUGUUGGGCAUCGCAAAAGUCAUCAAAACUGAUAACGGCCCAGGGUACAAAUCCAGGGAACUCAAGAGCUUCCUGCAACAAUGGGGAAUAGAACAUAAGACCGGCAUCCCCUAUUCCCCAACAGGCCAAGCUGUGGUGGAGAGGACCCAUCAGAGCCUAAAAAGGGUGUUACAUCAACAAAGUUCGGCAAUGAAGAUGGAAUCCCCUCAGAUCCGACUCGCAAAAGCACUUUAUACCAUCAAUUUCUUAAAUUGCUCUUAUGAUAACUUGAAUCCACCUAUUAUCCGACACUUCGGGCACAAUGAAAACCUGCACCUUAGGGUCAAGUCGCCGGUCCUUAUAAAGGAUCCGGAGACAUGGAAAACGGAGGGGCCCUUUGAUUUGGUAACCUGGGGGAGGGGAUACAUCUGCGUAUCCACUCCUUCAGGCCUCAAGUGGGUCCCCUCCAAGUGGGUCAAGCCCUUUUUACCCAAAAAAACCAUGGCGGCUGGAGCUGUGGCACAAGUAGAAGAAGCUUGUUGGAGGAGGAAACGCAAACCAUUCUCAGGAGAUUUGGACCUCCUCCCGGGGCAGAACCUAAACCUUUGAUUUAUCCUAAUGUUUUCCCUUUGCUUCUUUUAUAGAGACAUGCACCCGAUGACUCCCAUCCCAAUCACUACCGUCAUCUUUGUCAUCAUCCUAUGGUUCACAAUUCCCCCAGCGAGCCCGUGGAUCAUCCCCCAGCCAAGACACAACGUGUGGAAAAUGCUCGCCAAGGCCCUCGGCCAGGACCAACUCUGUCUGACCACCACCUCAGCAGCAGACCCUUUGUCGACCUGCCUUGUGGGGAUCCCUUCUGACCCAGAUGAGUUCCCUACCCCUCUUGAUUCCUCCCUAAGACCUUUGGCCCAACAAAAAGUCAUGCGUUCCCCUGGAAUCAACCCCAACCUUAUUUGGAGACGUCUUAUUUCUAAGCUGAACAUUGCUGAGUCCAAACCUGUUGAGUUUAAGUUGCUCGGCUCCGCGGUAGCUUCCGUUUGUGUAGAGUUUAUGUCUUCCCUCAACCCUAUUGGAAAACCCUACCUCCCUGUUAUUCAACCUAAUCAAGAGUAUACAGCUGGAAAUUGGUGCUCCACCGUUGUCCAUAUCACUACUACCCCAACUUAUGAUGAGAAGCCUAGAACCCUUCCCCGAGGAACUUUUUUUAUUUGCGGAGACCGAGCAUGGGCAGGCAUCCCCUCAUGCCUAAUAGGAGGCCCGUGUUCUUUCGGAAAGCUGACGCUGUUUACUCCCAACGACACCCAAAUUGCUAAUUGGAAAACAAAAAUUGUCACACGCAAUUCGACCCGCUCAAAAAGAGACCUAAAAGAAAGAGAUUCACAGUGUGACCCCGAAAUCACCCAUUGGUCUAUCCCAGAAGGCGUCGCUUGGACAGUGUUUUUGCCCUGGGUGUCCAUAGCGAAGUCUCUAGGUGAAUUGGCCCACCUAGAGUGUUGGGUUGCUAAACAAGCCAAUUUGACAUCGGCUGUUCUUAGUGACCUCCUACCAGACGAAGAAAUAACAAGGCGUGCGGCAAUGUAGAUCAUCAUCAGCAGUUGAUGGAGGCACACAAAGGCCUGAAGACAUUCAUGGCCCACGUGGAGCGAGCCCUGAGGAGGGACUGCAGCCUGCCCCAGCUCAAGCAGGCGUGUGCCAAGAUGGUCAAAAAGACCAGGCUGCUUCUAAAGCUUCUUCAAGAGAGGCAAGAGAACCAGGGAGCCUAUGAUCCAAUGGAGCAGUGUCGUCAGCAAGAGAAAAUGAUAAUUCACAUGGCCUUGGGGAAGGACAAGGGACUCACAGGGAAGCAAAAACUGGAGGCUGUGCUGUUCGUGAUCACAUUUGUGGUUUUGCUGUUUUUCUUCGUCUUGGUUUUGCUGAUACUGAAGUGUGUCUUCCACAAGCGCUCCCGACAGAGUGAACUUGACUCCCAGCCUGGCCACCCCAGGAAAUUGUGGCUGAGAAGGUUCUGUGCACAACUGCCACAGAGAGGGAGGAAGGAUAACAAGGAGGCACAGAAUGUAGAGCAGCCUUUGCUCUACAGGGCAGAGAGCUCCUCCGAGUGUUGCCCCUGUUCCCAGGCUGUUCAUGGAGCAUCCCAGUGCUGUUCCCUGUUCAGCAAGUCUGAAUUGCCAUGGAUUCAACGCAUCAGGGAUGCCUAUGAAUCCCAGAGAUCAGCAUCCCGGGAAGAGGCAUAGUGUGAAGAACAAAGGUAGAAGACUUUCAAGAAGUUAAUGGGAUGCCACAAUUGUUCACCUCCCAUUUAGCUGAGGCUCUCCUUGGAUGCUGCUUUGUUGGCUGUUUUUAUUUCCUUACAUGCUUUUUCCUUGACUGUUAUUUUCUUGCUGUCACUGCUGAGGGAAGGCCAGAGGGUGCUGCAGGCAAGCACAAGCUCUGGGACACCCAGAGAAGGCAUCAGUAUCUCAGGGUUUUCCUCAUCCCUUGUCGCAAUGUUUUACCCUGCAUUCAAUAAAAACCAAGUUUGUUCUCGUUC